rnacentral:rRNA from 1 species
AGCGAACGCUGGCGGCAGGCCUAACACAUGCAAGUCGAACGAACUCUUCGGAGUUAGUGGCGGACGGGUGAGUAACACGUGGGAACGUGCCCUUAGGUUCGGAAUAACUCAGGGAAACUUGUGCUAAUACCGAAUGUGCCCUUCGGGGGAAAGAUUUAUCGCCUUUAGAGCGGCCCGCGUCUGAUUAGCUAGUUGGUGAGGUAAAGGCUCACCAAGGCGACGUUCAGUAGCUGGUCUGAGAGGAUGAUCAGCCACAUUGGGACUGAGACACGGCCCAAACUCCUACGGGAGGCAGCAGUGGGGAAUCUUGCGCGAUGGGCGAAAGCCUGACGCAGCCAUGCCGCGUGAAUGAUGAAUGUCUUAGGAUUGUAAAAUUCUUUCACCGGGGACGAUAAUGACGGUACCCGGAGAAGAAGCCCCGGCUAACUUCGUG